AGCAGUUCGGUGCUAAUAACCACUUCCAUAUGUGGUCCUUGGUGACAGCGCUUCUUUUGGGUUCUUUUCACUGUGGUUUGGCACAGUUAACCUUUAAAAAUAUUAACUCUGUGAAGACUAGCCUCUGCAGCAAAGUUGUUCUUAUUCCCUGCUAUGUCUCCAACAUAGAGGCACAAAACAUCAAUGAAUUAUUUUUGAAGUGGAAAUUUGGACAAGAUGUAAUUUUUGUCUUUGAUGGACAUGCAAACAAAUCUACAACUUAUACGUUUCCAAGUGCGCUAAUUUUCCCCUCCGAAUUUCUAAAAGGAAAUGCAUCUUUGACGUUGGCUAAGAAGGAAGCUAAAGCAGGAAACUAUACAUGUGAAGUGACAGAACUGAGCAGGGAGGGGAAACACACUGUGGAGCUAAAAUACAGUGAUGGUUCAUGGUUUACUUUAAGUGAAAAUAUCACCAUUAUUAUUUUACCAUUUUUGACUAUACUUCUGUUCUGGGCACAGCUUGGUAUUUUAAUGCAAAAAUAUAAAUCCAACCCUGUGAAUAGGAAAAUUCUUAUUUUAUCUACUUCUGGACUAUUGUUCACCAUAGUUGUCACUGUUGGAGCCGCCCUUUUUAUCCCCGCUAUUGGGAGGACCCUCCAGGCAGUGAUCCUGUUCACCAUUGCUCAAGCACUGGGUGCUGUACUCACUCUUAUGGGACUAUAUCUCACUGCAUCUGAUUGUGUACCAAAAUAUGGCCCCCUUCUAAUUUCAGGUUUGGCCAUAAUAACUCUAGUAGAAUCAUUUGGACUAAUUUACAUGAAAUGGCUUGACCCAAUGAUAGGGUUUCCAUAAGACAUGAAAGUGCAGGCAGCAUUGUCUUCCUGAGUGAGUUUCACACUUUGUCUCAGUGGCUCUCAAGGAAUACUGACUCCAACAAUCUCUAGUCCAGAGCAAGAUGCCAGAUGUUCCAAGUGCCACUGGGUCGCCUUGCUUUGCUCAUCACUGAAGCCAAUCACUGAACUGAUUGUUCUCCAAGGAUACUGUUUUCCCUGAGCCAGUGUGGACUUUGCCAUUCCUUCAAGUUCCAACUAGAACGUUGGGUAGAGGCUAGUUUGUAGUCUUAUUACUUUGUAAAAAGUGCCAACUCCUUGACUGUAACAGAAAACAAUAAAAACAUUAAAAAUCC
ensembl:lincRNA